rnacentral:rRNA from 1 species
GGCGUAAAGGGCUCGUAGGUGGUUGAUCGCGUCGGAAGUGUAAUCUUGGGGCUUAACCCUGAGCGUGCUUUCGAUACGGGUUGACUUGAGGAAGGUAGGGGAGAAUGGAAUUCCUGGUGGAGCGGUGGAAUGCGCAGAUAUCAGGAGGAACACCAGUGGCGAAGGCGGUUCUCUGGGCCUUUCCUGACGCUGAGGAGCGAAAGCGUGGGGAGCGAACAGGCUUAGAUACCCUGGUAGUCCACGCUGUAAACGGUGGGUACUAGGUGUGGGGUCCAUUCCACGGGUUCCGUGCCGUAGCUAACGCUUUAAGUACCCCGCCUGGGGAGUACGGCCGCAAGGCUAAAACUCAAAGGAAUUGACGGGGCCCCGCACAAGCGGCGGAGCAUGCGGAUUAAUUCGAUGCAACGCGUAGAACCUUACCUGGGUUUGACAUGGAUCGGGAGUGCUCAGAGAUGGGUGUGCCUCUUUUGGGGUCGGUUCACAGGUGGUGCAUGGCUGUCGUCAGCUCGUGUCGUGAGAUGUUGGGUUAAGUCCCGCAACGAGCGCAACCCUUGUUCACUGUUGCCGGCACGUUAUGGUGGGGACUCAGUGGAGACCGCCGGGGUCAACUCGGAGGAAGGUGGGGAUGACGUCAAGUCAUCAUGCCCCUUAUGUCCAGGGCUUCACGCAUGCUACAAUGGCUGGUACAGAGAGUGGCGAGCCUGUGAGGGUGAGCGAAUCUCGGAAAGCCGGUCUCAGUUCGGAUUGGGGUCUGCAACUCGACCUCAUGAAG